rnacentral:lncRNA from 1 species
AUGGUUCAGAAGGAAGUUCAAAAUGAACGAGCAGACAAAAUGGAGAGGGAGGCUAAGGAGAGAAGCAAUUUAAAUAGAUCAGGAGGAUUAUAUCAGAGCAAGCUCAUGCAGAAGGCUGACAGCCUGUCUCCCUCCCAUCAGAGAUAUCCCACCAGCUCCUUUAGGAGUUCAGCACUGCAUUUGGCCUAUUCUGAUCUUCCUGAUCCCCUCAUUUCUGUGCUGCAACGCCACCAUCCACCAGAAAUCAGGCCCUCAGGCAGGCUGCGCAUUGCCAGGUGUGGUCACAGCGGCGGAGAGCUGGCUGCAGCGUGUGCGGUGCGAGGAAGGAGAAACGAGAGGAAACGUAAAGGAGAGAAGGUGCUGCCACUAAGACAAUUCUGCAAGGCAGUCUCAUGGAGCCGUGCAUUCAUUACUUGCUAUAUUUAAUGGAACUUCAAACAGUUUGCUGACAGCAUCGAGACAGCCCCAACUGAAAUAGCUCGAGAUGGUUAUAGCUUCUCUUGGCAAGUGGGGGAGAUUAAGAGCAAAAUCCUACGGUGAUGAAGAUAGUUACACUGAAGUCCCUUUCUGCUGUUGAUCUCUGCACAUCUUCAGGCAUGAUCGCCGCUUUCCACAUUUUUCCCACCUUGCAGUAAACAUCCACUGCCAGCGCGCGGAUCCAUCUGCAGGAGCCAUGCGUCCCUCUGUGCUCUCUCCAUGUUGGAUGUAGACUCAGCCAGGAGGCAGUCCAAGCUCCACGGCAGUGCUUACACAGGGCUGGUGGCUGUCUCUCAGUGCUUCAUGCGAGUUUGCAAAGCCAAAGUGGCUACUUCACCCGUCUCGGUGUCUGACAGGAAUUUGUCCCUGCUCCAGGACUCUGGAGUACUGGAAGAGCACAGUGCACUUAUGCUUCGUUAAGGCUGCAGAUGAUAAGCAGUGAGAUGCAUUCUAAUUAUUUUCAUCUGGGUAUGUGCAGCAUAGAGGGACGGAGUAUUGAUUUUUCUGUUUAUUUUCCCAUCUCUGAAUGAAUAAAUGCUUUUUGCCCAACA